rnacentral:rRNA from 1 species
UACGAAGGGGACUAGCGUUGUUCGGAAUUACUGGGCGUAAAGCGCACGUAGGCGGAUUUGUUAGUCAGGGGUGAAAUCCCGGGGCUCAACCUCGGAAUUGCCUUUGAUACUGUCUGUCUUGAGUUCGGGAGAGGUUGGCGGAAUUCCUAGUGUAGAGGUGAAAUUCGUAGAUAUUAGGAAGAACACCAGUGGCGAAGGCGGCCAACUGGCCCGAUACUGACGCUCAUGUGCGAAAGCGUGGGGAGCAAACAGG